UACGUAGGUGGCAAGCGUUGUCCGGAUUUACUGGGCGUAAAGAGCGCGCAGGCGGUCGUGCAAGUCGCGUGUGAAGGCCCCCGGCUCAACUGGGGAGGGUCACGCGAUACUGCUCGACUCGAAGGCAGGAGAGGGAAGUGGAAUUCCCGGUGUAGUGGUGAAAUGCGUAGAUAUCGGGAGGAACACCAGUGGCGAAGGCGACUUCCUGGCCUGUUCUUGACGCUGAGGCGCGAAAGCUAGGGUAGCAAACGGG
rnacentral:rRNA from 1 species